rnacentral:rRNA from 1 species
UACGUAGGGGGCAAGCGUUGUCCGGAUUUAUUGGGCGUAAAGAGCUCGUAGGCGGUUUGGUAAGUCUGGUGUGAAAUCUCCACGCUCAACGUGGAGGGGCCACCCGAUACUGCCAUGACUGGAGUCCGGUAGAGGAGUGUGGAAUUCCCGGUGUAGCGGUGAAAUGCGCAGAUAUCGGGAGGAACACCCGUAGCGAAGGCGGAUCUCUGGGCCUUACCUGACGCUGAGGAGCGAAAGCGUGGGGAGCGAACAGG